GGGCCUUGCCGGGGUGCUAAUAAUGCAAGUCGUACGCUUCUUUUUCCACCGGAGCUUGCUCCACCGGAAAAAGAAGAGUGGCGAACGGGUGAGUAACACGUGGGUAACCUGCCCAUCAGAAGGGGAUAACACUUGGAAACAGGUGCUAAUACCGUAUAACAAUCGAAACCGCAUGGUUUUGAUUUGAAAGGCGCUUUCGGGUGUCGCUGAUGGAUGGACCCGCGGUGCAUUAGCUAGUUGGUGAGGUAACGGCUCACCAAGGCCACGAUGCAUAGCCGACCUGAGAGGGUGAUCGGCCACAUUGGGACUGAGACACGGCCCAAACUCCUACGGGAGGCAGCAGUAGGGAAUCUUCGGCAAUGGACGAAAGUCUGACCGAGCAACGCCGCGUGAGUGAAGAAGGUUUUCGGAUCGUAAAACUCUGUUGUUAGAGAAGAACAAGGAUGAGAGUAACUGUUCAUCCCUUGACGGUAUCUAACCAGAAAGCCACGGCUAACUACGUGCCAGCAGCCGCGGUAAUACGUAGGUGGCAAGCGUUGUCCGGAUUUAUUGGGCGUAAAGCGAGCGCAGGCGGUUUCUUAAGUCUGAUGUGAAAGCCCCCGGCUCAACCGGGGAGGGUCAUUGGAAACUGGGAGACUUGAGUGCAGAAGAGGAGAGUGGAAUUCCAUGUGUAGCGGUGAAAUGCGUAGAUAUAUGGAGGAACACCAGUGGCGAAGGCGGCUCUCUGGUCUGUAACUGACGCUGAGGCUCGAAAGCGUGGGGAGCAAACAGGAUUAGAUACCCUGGUAGUCCACGCCGUAAACGAUGAGUGCUAAGUGUUGGAGGGUUUCCGCCCUUCAGUGCUGCAGCUAACGCAUUAAGCACUCCGCCUGGGGAGUACGACCGCAAGGUUGAAACUCAAAGGAAUUGACGGGGGCCCGCACAAGCGGUGGAGCAUGUGGUUUAAUUCGAAGCAACGCGAAGAACCUUACCAGGUCUUGACAUCCUUUGACCACUCUAGAGAUAGAGCUUCCCCUUCGGGGGCAAAGUGACAGGUGGUGCAUGGUUGUCGUCAGCUCGUGUCGUGAGAUGUUGGGUUAAGUCCCGCAACGAGCGCAACCCUUAUUGUUAGUUGCCAUCAUUCAGUUGGGCACUCUAGCAAGACUGCCGGUGACAAACCGGAGGAAGGUGGGGAUGACGUCAAAUCAUCAUGCCCCUUAUGACCUGGGCUACACACGUGCUACAAUGGGAAGUACAACGAGUCGCGAAGUCGCGAGGCUAAGCUAAUCUCUUAAAGCUUCUCUCAGUUCGGAUUGUAGGCUGCAACUCGCCUACAUGAAGCCGGAAUCGCUAGUAAUCGCGGAUCAGCACGCCGCGGUGAAUACGUUCCCGGGCCUUGUACACACCGCCCGUCACACCACGAGAGUUUGUAACACCCGAAGUCGGUGAGGUAACCUUUUGGAGCCAGCCGCCUAAGGUGGGAUAGAUGAUUGGGGUGAAGUCGUAUCAAGUAGGGUACCU
rnacentral:rRNA from 1 species